AUUUGAUUUUUGUCUAGGAUGAAGAAAACAAACAAGAAAAUAUUUUUGGGUCACUGAAAAUGCUUGCCCAGCCAGCACACCCGAGGUGGAUCACACUCCUGGGGCACUCCAGGGAUUUCCAGGGCGCAGAGCACCAAGUUACCCAGCCCUACGGCAGCCACCUGCUCCCAAAGCAAACUCAAGUGAUGAGUUCCAGCUACUCAGCAGGAAUGUCCCGUCCCUGACCUACUCUGCAUCAACCCGGCGUAUUGGUGUCAUUCAGGAACACACCCUCCUCGAACGCUGACCUACUGUGGCCUGAAGUUUUAGUGCCUCUGUGUCGUGAUUACAUCCUGGAACAGCUUUCAGUAGCGUGUCAAAGGACCUGCUGAGGCAGCCGGGGCAGACACGCUCGUCUCAAGUGCAAUUAUAACUCUAUGGAAGGUCAUUUGCCGACAUCUGCCGAAAGGGAGGAUUCAGGACCCCUGAUGGCAUAAUAAAUGUGCCUUCUACCGAAACAAGACCGGGGUUAAGAAUGUAUGCUCCCCCAAAACUUUUGACUCAAAACUAGAAAAAAAUAAAUAUUGUUUCAUCUC